rnacentral:rRNA from 1 species
AUUGAACGCUGGCGGCAUGCCUAACACAUGCAAGUCGAACGGAGCGGCGGACGGGUGAGUAAUGCCUAGGAAUCUGCCUAGUAGCGGGGGAUAACGUCCGGAAAAGGGCGCUAAUACCGCAUACUAUCAGAUCAGCCUAGGUCGGAUUAGCUAGUGGGUGGGGUAACGGCCUACCAAGGCGACGAUCCGUAACUGGUCUGAGAGGAGUAUCAGCCACACUGGAACUGAGACACGGUCCAGACUCCUACGGGAGGCAGCAGUGGGGAAUAUUGGACAAUGGGCGAAAGCCUGAUCCAGCCAUGCCGCGUGUGGGAAGAAGGUCUUCGGAUUGUAAAGCACUUUUGGUUGGGAAGCGUUACCUACAGAAUAAGCACCGGCUAACUUCGUGCCAGCAGCCGCGGUAAUAC